CCAGCGUGAUGGAUUGAUGAAAGUUGUUGGUUUUCUGAAUCAUCUUCUUUAGUGGGCAUUUUUCUUUCUUGCUUUUUCUGCAGAUUUGCUUUUUUUGUUUCUUUUAUUUUUUUCAAUUGUUUAUUUAUAAAUGUGGCACCACUGGUUGAACAUAUCAUACGAUCUGUGUUUUGUGAUUUUUUCCCAAGAAAUGCAAGCACAUGCCCUGCCCAGAAUAGUGAUGCUAGAGGCGAUGAGGCUUCUGGUUGGAUGCCAAGUGAAAAAGAUUUGCUUUUGCACGUUUCCUUAAUUUUACUUGUUUUACUUAUUCGGUUUAUAACAAAGUGGUAUUCGAUGAAUUUUUAAUAUUAUUCACUAUAAUUUUAG
rnacentral:lncRNA from 1 species